UAAAUAGUUAAUAAGUAAACUCAACAAUUAAAUGAGGUAGCACCCAACAAGUAUUGCAAGCCAACAUGUCAGAGAUGGCAAGCCAUCGAACGACCUGCUGCCAAACUCUGAGGGCAAAAGGACAAGACAGUAACAUAUGUUGACUACUUUCAGCAACCACAAGACAAAAAGGACAGCCCACAUCUUAUGGAUUGGCAAUUAUAUGCCUACGAAAUAAAUUAUAACGCGUCUGAAUACGAUCGAGUGGCAGCCGCCAGACAAAGGCUCUCACAUUCGAAGCAGCCCAAAUGGAUUUAAAAAUAUUGUCCUGCACCUCCAAGCCAUGUACCUGCAAAACAAGGUACGCUGAGUUAACGGUAUAAAUUCCUUCCUCCCCUGGAACCCACACCCACUUGUCUCUCCUUCCUUCAAUCAAAUUACCACCAUUCAGAACUGAAAUUAAGUCCUGAUACCAAGCAACCUCUCUCCCUUGCAAAUCCCUUCUCCAAGCCAAUUUCCACCUACAAGGACCCCCAUCCCACUCACUCACCUCCUUUACAAUACUGUAUUUAUUUUUGGACAAAUUAUAGAGCCGCUGAAACCUUCCGGACAAUGGUCCAGAUCCUAACCAAUCCUCAGAAUAGAACACAGUUUGAUCCCCAUCUCCCAACACCUUUCCCACAUUAGAACUGAACCAAUCUAAAUUAUCAGCGGAGCAAGUUGACAUGACAUCCUGCCACCAAGGUCAAGCACAAUGAAACUGAUCUAACUGUGCUUUAAUCACUCUACACCAAAGGCUAUUUGUUUCAUUCAUAUAACGCUACCUCCACUUCCCAAUAAGAGCUAUGUUGAAAGAAAAAAGCUCUUUGAUUCCAAGACCACCAUUCUCCUUUGAUUUGCAUACAUCUGUCCAACUUACCCACACAAUUUUGUGUUUCUCCUCUGAACCGCCCAUAGGAAAUCACGCAUGAGGCUAGUACAGAGCUUCCCAACACCAACAAGCAGCUUGAAAAACGAAAGGUUCCCAUAACCGAGCUUCUCGUGGCCUCCCACCAUGGAACACCUAGGUACACAAAAAGGGAGAGUCAUCAACUUACAAUUUACCACUUCCCAUCCCAAAAUUGAACCCCACGAAACUGCCCUUGCCCAUAGCUUGGAAAAAGAGUCUAUUGAGACCUUAUGCUAUUAUUAAAAAAAGAAAAGGGGCCAACGGAUCACCUUGACGAAGACCUUUUCCCAUUUUAAAUUCACCACAAGGACUGCCAUUCACCCAAGACAGAUAUAGAGGCCGACUCUAAGCAACUUUUGAUGCAAAGAAUCCACUUUUGGCUGAAUCCCAUCCGCCCCAUCAUGUAGAUCAAGAAGUCACAUCUCACAGAAUCAUAUGCUUUCUCGUAAUCCACUUUGAAGAGGACCGUUGACUUUCUACCCCGCUUAGCAACACUAAUGGUCUCAUUCACAAUCACCAUGCCGUCAAGCAUAUUCCUCCCUCCUAAAAAAGCAAACUGAUGGUCUCAUUCUGUUUGUUUGUUUCAUCGUGGGUGGGUGCAGAGGGUUGGGUGCGUAAUGUGUUUUUGUUGGGUGGUAGGAUUUGUAAGUGUGGGAUUUGCUUUGUUAGUUUUUGGUAUUUGUAGGGUUGUAUCCAUUGUUGUCAAUCUCUAGAGAUAUCUCUUAAUCUCUUACGAGAUUACGAUAUCACUUAUAAAAAACAAGACUAGCGAAGGGUAAUAACUGUUUUUUCAAAUCUCGGCGGAUAUCUCGAGAUAUCUCUUAAUCUGGUGUAAUAUCACUCCUCUUUGUCAUUAAUUCCACUAAACUCUUUCGUUCUUUC